rnacentral:rRNA from 1 species
ACCAGACUCCUACGGGAGGCAGCAGUGGGGGAUAUUGCACAAUGGGGGGAACCCUGAUGCAGCGACGCCGCGUGGGUGAAGAAGCGCCUCGGCGCGUAAAGCCCUGUCAGCAGGGAAGAAAAUGACGGUACCUGAAGAAGAAGCCCCGGCUAACUACGUGCCAGCAGCCGCGGUAAUACGUAGGGGGCAAGCGUUAUCCGGAUUUACUGGGUGUAAAGGGGGCGCAGACGGCGAUGCAAGCCAGGAGUGAAAGCCCGGGGCCCAACCCCGGGACUGCUCUUGGAACUGCGUGGCUGGAGUGCAGGAGGGGCAGGCGGAAUUCCUGGUGUAGCGGUGAAAUGCGUAGAUAUCAGGAGGAACACCGGUGGUGAAGGCGGCCUGCUGGACUGCAACUGACGUUGAGGCCCGAAAGCGUGGGGAGCAAACAGGAUUAGAUACCCCCGUA